rnacentral:misc_RNA from 1 species
ACUGCUGGUUCCUAUUUCCAAAC